UGAACUUUCUUUUCAGGUUGGUGUGAAUCAUAAUGAAAGAUGUGUUCAGGGCAGCCACUCUGUUCUGAGCAGAAAACAAGCCUAGAAAAGAGUGCUGGGAGGACAAGCGGAAAUGGUGUUUGAACCAGGUCAUUGAAAAGGCACAGGAAAUGUUCUGAACAGAGACCAGAGAGCAGUCUCUUGGCUGGGGGCCAUGAGGAGGGGGUGCGGGACAGGGAGAGAUAGAUGGCAGAAUGGAACACAGGCCAUGACUCAUCAACCCAAGCUCACGUCUUCAUCUGAGACUCUUUAAUCUCUUUCUUCUGACAGAAUGCAGAAAAAUAAUAAAAGAAAACUUUGAUAGAGUCGCUUGCGUGAAAACUCCCACUUGUCUCCAAGAAAAUGCUGUAAUUUAAAGGAAAAAAAGAGUCCAGCUGUGCAAAGUGUAAAGAGAGUCAAUGCAUCUCAAAAUAAACAGGCACUCCACAUGAAUGGACAAAUCACAAAAUAGAAAACAUAAUUAACAAGCAUAUAAAUUAUGAUGACUCUUGAGAGAAACCCAAAAGGGACAACUGGCAUGCUAAGAUGCCAGUUUAUAGAAUUUCCAUUAGACAGCAGUUUUCAAAACGAUAAUACUCAUUACUGAACCGGUUGUAAUAGAAUUGGUAUAUUUUGAGGGAGCAGUAGAAAUUAACUUAACCUUUUUAGAAAGUAACCAGGUCAUAGAAUUAAGAGGUUCUGACUUGCAGGAAAUAAGACAAUAAAUAAUUGAAAGGAGAAAAAGAUAACAUAUUUUGUUUUCCCUGCAUUGAAAUGACUCCCUACCUUUCACAGUUGUGGUAAGGUUUGGAAGAGGAACAAUGGGAUAAAGAAUGCGUUUUAUAUAUAAAGCAAUAUGCACAGGCAAGAAGAAAAAUCAUUUUCAAUUUGAAAGUGGUUUGUAAUGGUGAAAAUCUAAGGUUAACAACUAAGCUUUUGGCAAAAGGGAAACAGUUAAACUAGUGUACCCGCAUCUGCUAGAAAGAAUAUAUAUACACAUCCAUAUAACGAUAUUAAUUAAUUUAAAAUA